UACGUAGGGGGCAAGCGUUGUCCGGAUUUAUUGGGCGUAAAGAGCGUGUAGGCGGCCUGGAAGGUCAGCUGUGAAAACUCGAGGCUCAACCUCGAGACGUCGGUUGAAACCACCUGGCUAGAGUCCGGAAGAGGAGAAUGGAAUUCCCGGUGUAGCGGUGAAAUGCGCAGAUAUCGGGAAGAACACCCGUGGCGAAGGCGGUUCUCUGGGACGGUACUGACGCUGAGACGCGAAAGCGUGGGGAGCGAACAGG
rnacentral:rRNA from 1 species